rnacentral:tRNA from 3 species
CGGAACGUAGCGCAGUUGGUAGCGCGUCUGCUUUGGGAGCAGAAUGUCGCAGGUUCAAAUCCUGUCGUUCCGACUA